AGUAGGCGACGGCGAUGCCUCCCAGGCGGCCGAGGGAGCGCGUGUCGAGGCUGGCGGCGCCCGACACCAGGCUGCAGACCACCAGCGGCAGGAUGACCAUGCGCAGCAUGCGCAGCAGCAGCUCCCCGGGGAAGGCCAGCCUCAUGGAUAGACCUAAAGAUCCUUACCUUGUGGCUGGAGCUCCUGGGAAUUGUCACCACAACUGUGUCCACCACCACCUGCCUCAGAGCUCAAUGCAGUCUUGACUUGCAGCUUGUUCACACAUGUGACUCAAGGUACCAGGUGUACUUUGGGCUCCAAGGACAUCCACAUCUGGAGCUAGCUCUGAGCUUCAUGGUGGCCUCUGUGUAAAAUCAAGCCCCUGGAGGGCAAGAGCUGUGUUAUCUGCAAAAAGUCACAUCUGACUGCUAACGUCACAGUGCUGCACAUCUCAGCCAUAAAUGAAGGCAUGACUUACAUCCUUGCUGAUGGCGGUAUCCACACAGCCAGCGUGCCAGGCUGGGCACAGCCUGUCCCCUGUUUGUGCUCCAGUUUCCUUGCUCAGACCUUUAUCUGCCUCAGGGAACUUGAACUGGGCAAGAUGUGUCAAAGAGCAGAGGACCCUUGGAUAAAAAGCCCUCUAGGGAGAUGAGAAAAACAUCCUCGAGACAGCCCGAAGCUGGCUGCGCGAAUCCCCCUGCGCUAAACCUUGCUUUCGAGAUGAAAAGCGAAGAUUGGAGCAGUGGAAGCGGAGCUAUUUUGGUGACAUAGUGCCACCCACUGUCGGAGGGACAGACAGCACCCUGGCCCUGCUCGGCCAUGUGCUACGCUUGCUGUUCGGAGAGCUGUGUCUGCAACAUGUAAUUCAGGUAUCAGAUAUCUAAGGUAUCUAUAAGGCGGCUAUAUACAUGCAGUGGGAUAUUUACACGUAGCUAUACGUAUGCUGAUGGCUAAGGCAGCUGUGUUGUCCUACUGGAGAUGCUUAUGCUCAUGAAUAAUUCCAGUUUGGAUGGGCGACAGAAAUCCGGUGUGUAGCCAGGGGCUGUGCUCAGCGGAAAAAUCUGGAGCAAGUGACAGUGAAAACGUGUCACAUAGGUGGCAGUCCCCCUCAGUGUUCUCAGACGUGGAAGGGAUGGGUGAGAGGCUGGCAUGGGGAAGAGGGGUGGAGAUAUGGAGCCACGUGGACACACAGCCCCAUGCGUGCAUUUUUGCGACACUUGAUUUUGUAUGGAUUUGAUGUGCACUUGGAUUAUUGGUUGCUCGUGUGUGUUGUGAUGGGGGGAACUAUCUGAUGGAAGAAAUGACCCAAAGAACCACACCACGCUUGGGGCUAUGCGUAUGUCCACGAUAAGGAAGAUAUUUCCACCUGUCUUACGAGGAGCUCAGACCAGAGCAUCCCAAGGCAUCUCCGAACCAAUAAAAUGCCGUGUCCUGGGAAAAGAUGGAGUGGCAUUGCUCCGUACACCCACCAAAGACAAACCAAGAAGUCUUUUCCAAACCGGAGAGCGGGGCGUGCCCUGGUGCCUUGGUGAGCAGCGAGCUCUCGCAGGAUGGUGUGUGCUCCUCCGCAGAGAUGCCCUCGGAGAAGAGAUCUUUCAUUAAGAUUGUCAUUCACUACGAUUUCCAUCCCCGCGGAGGCUGCUUCCUCGGCAGGCGCUGUCUCCAGGGGAGGGAGCGGUUGUGAAAUAUUCAUACAUCAGAAGAAUUGCAUUUGUGAGCGUGGACCGCAGAGCCACAACUGGCUGGAGGGGCGUGCGGGGGAAAACAAUAGCAGCGAAGGAGGGAAUAAAAAAAAGGCAGAAUCCAGGAUGUGAAAGGUGAGCCUGCCCCUUGUCCAAAUGCUCAAUGAGCCCCCAACCAGGCUGGUGACAGUGAGGAGCAUCCCAGGGUCUGGUUUCUGGUGGCUGCAGAGCUGCUUGAGCCCACUUCAGGGUAGGAGAAUUGGCUGGCUCUGAGCAUGUGAAGCUAAUUGAUUUUCUCCUCAUACAGCGAUGGCUAAGCAGCUUUUGCGUUCAUGCUUCUGCGAGUCUGAGGAAUAACCUUAGCAGAGCACGCACGAGAGACCAAAUGGCCCCCGAACCAGCUCUGUGUCACAGGCUUGAUGCCUCGGGCAUCUCUUCAGCGGCUCCCUCCUAUAGGCUACCACAGUUUCAAAUAACUUUAAGAAAAAAAAAAAAAAAAACAGGAAAAAAACACACAUUUAGGGAUCUAUGGUCAACUUGGAUUGAAUUAAGAGUGACACGUACACAUGCUCACACAGGGCAGCUGUGUAUGCAUCCUUUCCAUGGGAUGCUGUUGUAAAGUGUGGCAUGGUUAAGGGUCAGACAACCCCCAACAAGCCAUGGGAUUUGAGAAAAAGGCCAGCAGUAAACGCAGCGGAGAACAGUGAGGUGCCACACUCUGGGAGAAAAGCUGAAGCAGACGAUUUGGGUUGGAAAGCUGUGCAAGGGCAUUUCCAUGGGGAAAUAUACCGGUCCAGCCCUCGGGUAUCUCAGCACACAGCUGCAAAUCCUUUACAUCAUAGUGGACCAAGAAGCCCACAAGCAUGGUUCAACACCUCCCUGAAAGAUGCACAUUGCCUCCUAAACCAUCCAAUUUCCUUCCAGUGCUCUCCAUGUCUCACGCUGAGGACUCAAUUCCUCCUUGGGUUCCACAGGCUAUCUCUAUAACAGCGAGAAUAACAGUAAACCCAAGAAUAAUAAGGGUUUUUUUAAUGCUUUAGAGUGAUUAUUAGGACCUGCUGCUCUCUGUUGCCCACCAUUGCUUUAAUUUGCUGGGAUCCUACAGGGAAGCCGUCCCUGCACAUGCUUUCUCGAGGGGGUCGUUUUUCCCCCGCGAAGGAAGGAUGCUCACAGCCUCCCGACGCCAAGCUGCAUCCGACCAGCUCGCUCCUCGCCUCCCUCUCGGGAAGCAUACGCACGCUUGCACGCCGCAGGAGCAAGUUUUGACUAUUUUAGGGCCUGAAAUUUCCUGGUCGGCAUGGCAACUUCCGACUCCGCACCUCUGACGGAAGCGGCUUAAAAUAGAAAAUCCAGAAAAGCAGCAGCAAGCCUGGCUCCAGCACCACCGGCAAGAAGCCCGGGGUGCUGCAGGCAGGAUCUGGCCUCUUGGGGUCAAUGAGGACAACCCGUGGGGCCGCCACCUCAAUGACCACAUUUCUUAAAACAUCGCCCGAACCUUCUUUUUGAUUGGAAGGUAUCCACUCCUGUCACCCCUUCUUUGCUCAGCAAAGCUUUGGUUCCUUAUCCACGGCCUAUUCAUGGCCAUCAAACCUCCAUGGAUGCUGGCUCCAUCCCAAAUAUAUUUUCCUGUAGACCUUCCAGGGCUGUCCAGUGUCACGGGACUGCCAU